GACGAUGGGGACAUUGGCAACUUGCCACGCCAUUUUGUUUCUCUUUAUCUUGUCUCACGUGUCUCCAUUUUGGAGCUUAACUCCAUUCUUAUAUGAAUUGCCGCUUCAUCCGUUCUUCUAUUCUUUACAAUUCUAGAAUAUUCCAACUCUCUGCGAUCUUUUCUUUUCUCUUUGAAGGUCUAACAGUAAGCGAGGAUCAGGUUCCAGAAUCAUACUGCUGGUCUCCAACAACUCAACAACGUUGUGUUCUUUGAAAUUCGUUCGGAGCCAAUUUCGUUUCUAGGUCAUCUUCUCUGAAUCGGAAUUCGCCACGAGGAGCUGCAAUUGCGAAUGAAUGAACGUCGAAAGAACAUGAAGGUGAGGAGAAAGAUCGGGAAGUAUGAGAUGGGGCGAACUAUUGGCGAAGGCACCUUCGCCAAGGUCAAGUUCGCCAGAAAUUCCGAAACAGGGGAGAGCGUGGCCAUUAAAAUUAUGGCUAAGGCCACCAUUCUCGAGCACAGAAUGGUUGAGCAGAUUAAAAGAGAGAUAUCCAUUAUGAAGAUUGUCAGGCAUCCUAAUAUAGUUAUACUGCACGAGGUUUUGGCUAGCCAGACCAAGAUCUACAUAAUCCUAGAAUUUGUGAUGGGAGGGGAACUAUAUGACAAAAUUGUUCAGCAGGGAAGGCUUUCUGAAAAUGAAUCUAGGCGCUAUUUUCAACAACUUAUAGACGCUGUUGAUCAUUGCCAUAAAAAGGGUGUGUACCAUAGAGACUUGAAGCCUGAAAACCUCCUUCUUGAUGCUUUUGGAAAUUUGAAAGUUUCCGACUUUGGAUUGAGUGCAUUGACUAAAAAGGGUGUUGGCCUUCUUCACACCACUUGUGGGACCCCAAAUUAUGUUGCCCCUGAGGUGCUCGGUAAUCGAGGAUAUAAUGGUGCUGCAGCUGACGUUUGGUCAUGUGGGGUCAUCCUAUAUGUUCUAAUGGCCGGAUAUCUUCCUUUUGAGGAGCCUGACCUUCCAACUCUGUACAGAAGGAUCAAUGCUGCAGAGUAUGUCUGCCCAUUCUGGUUUUCUGCUAAGGCAAAGUCAUUCAUACGUAAAAUUCUAGAUCCUAAUCCAGAAACAAGGGUCAAAAUUGAAGAAAUAAGGAAAGAUCCAUGGUUCCAGGAAAACUAUUUUCCUGUCAAACUCGGGGAAUGUGAGCAAGUGAAUUUGGAUGAUGUUCGGGCUGUUUUUGAUGAUAUUGAGGACCAAUAUGUUGCUGAACAGUCAGAAAUUACCGAAGGAGGUCCUUUGAUAAUGAAUGCAUUUGAGAUGAUUUCCUUAUCACAAGGAUUGAAUCUUUCACCAUUGUUUGAUAGGCACCAGGUGGGCAUUAGAGGGCAUCUGAUUUCAAGUUUGAAUCAAAGAUUAUGUAAAGCGGCAAACACGAUUUGUCUCCCGUAAACCAGCAAAAGUUAUAAUUUCUUCUGUUGAAGCUAUUGCAGAGUCAAUGGGUCUUAAGGUCCAUUCUCGCAAUUACAAGGUGAGGCUAGAAGGUGUUUCUGCAAACAAGGUUGGGCAAUUUGCAGUGGUCUUGGAGGUUUUUGAAGUCGCACCAUCCCUUUUCAUGGUUGAUAUUCGAAAGGCAGCUGGGGACACUUUUGACUACCACAAGUUUUAUACGAGUUUUUGUAGCAAACUCGGAAGCAUUAUUUGGAAACCGGCAGGGAGCAUGCGAAAUUCUAACACGCUUAAGCAACUGACUAUAUAAUCCAAUCCUUUGAAGUUAUGAACGAUGCAAAUCUGCUUAGAAGUGCACCGGGAGCUUCAGCUGGUCCCCGAGUAUACUAAAAAGCUGGCAUGCAUGCUUUGUUGGCUUAAUAAUCUCGAGAGAAGGAAGGAAAAAUACCUGUAAUCCAUUAUUGGGUUCAGGGAGAAAUAUGUAUAAAGAAUAAACACAAUGGAAACGAUGAUCUUGCUUUUCAUCUCCACUUAUGUCUCUGGGUUUGAGACAUGCUCAUUAUGUAUAAAAAAAUAUGCGUGUUUGAUUAAGUAUGAAGUGAAAUUUAAGUUAACUUUUUUAUUUUUUUAUUUUUUAAAGGGUAAA